rnacentral:lncRNA from 1 species
CCUCGCUCCGUCGGUACAUGCACGCGAUGUAUUAACUCAGAUUAAAGCAGGCUGGUUCCUGGGCCAAGACUUGAUGGUUCCUGGGCUAAGACAUGAUGAUUCCUGUGCCAAGACUUGAUGGUUCCUGGGCCAAGACAUGAUGGAUGAUGCCAAGGUUUCCUCUACCACCAGGGCCAGGUUCGGUGUGACUCAUUGUCUCAUUGCUCGCGUCUUGGUCUUCCUAAACAUAGCUCAAAUUCGUCAACUUUCGUCCACUUAAAGAUGAUCAUUUUCUGUAAAUGGGUACCUGACUACACGGUUGAGGAAGUGACGGCGGUUGAGUGCAGUACCGGCCAUGCUGCCUCCUUGUGUGCUAAAGACUUGCUAUCCACACUGCCCCUACCACUUAUCAUGCACACUUAACACCAGACAGUGGCAGUGAAGGAGAAGCAGUGAGAGUGAGGAUUGUAGCGAGGAGGAGGAGGAAGGGAAAAAACAAGCUCUUAAGUCAUCCACGCUAGCCUGUACCAUCCCGUCUGCAUUUGUGUGCGAGGCAGGGGGGUAUUUUUAUCAUUCUGCCGGAUCAAGAAUCUAAAUGCAAAGAUGAGAAAUGCUGCUGAUUGGGUAAGAUGAAGUCGGCAACUGACCAAUCACCGUGCAGUUCGAACGCGAGGGCUGAUUUGUGGAAGUCGCUGCUGCCUGGCUUGUAAGCGGACGAACAAGAAUCAGUCUCCAAAGAUCAAACAGGAAGAGUAAAUAUUUACCAACAUCUACGACAGUGAGAUAACAACGUGAUAUAACUCAGGUACGGUAACGUGGGAGCAACAGAUUACACUCAGGUAAGGUAACAGCAUCGUCUCCUCUCUCAUCAAUGGGUCCAAUUUGUAUCCACCUUCACUCACCUUCAUUUUCUUUUCUAUUUCUGAAUGAGAGUUGAUUCUAAGAGUUUUAAGAGCGAAAGUUUAUUUGUUGGUCUGAUAAAAGUAUGUUUGGUUGAGAGGUUUUCAAUACCGAUAUCUGCCUCUUUGUAACUCGUCUCCCUGGCGAGUUAUGACCCUUGGAGUUUUAAUCUGAAGGUAAAAUAAUCUCAUAUAUACGACUCGUUGGUUUUAUUUGAUAUCAUAGACGAGUGAUGUGCGUCAGUGUGUUGUGUUGUGUUGUGUUGUGUUGUGUUGUGGUGUGUUGUGUUGUGUUGUGUAGCGUGUAUGUAUUAUAUAUUAGGUGGUAUAAAACUAACUUUCCUACCUGUUCAAAAUGUUAGACAUGGGGAUUACAAUUCUUUAAUUACCUUUCUAUGUCUCACUAAACAUAAACAAUAGACAAAUAAUAUUCUAAAACUAUUUAAAUUAUUUCUUUGAUGUUUAUUUUGAUUAUUAAUGUUCUUGAUGUAUUUACCCCUCCAAAGAAUUACAGAAUCAAAUCAACACUGACGAUCUGUUGUUAAACUAAUUGGAGUGUGUUUAUUACUGAAAGGUAGAAAAAUUCACUAUCAAUACACUCAGUAAAUUUAUUCUCAUAGUGAUGUUAUAUGUAAAUUCAUUUUAUGCUCUAGUGACUUAUGGAAAAAUAUCUAAAGUUUCCUCUGUGUUAUUUAAACUUCUUCUUUCACAUACUUAUAAUACUUUGUAUACUUGUUUCAUUACUUAACCAAAUUAUGUAACAGCACCUUCAAGGAAUAUCCACCAGUUUGUUCCUGAAGCACUUGAGGCAUGAAACUAGUUACUGUAGUUAUCUAUUGUCGAGGUUUAACCAGAACAAGAUUUAAAGAUUUACAGACACUAAAAGUGAUAUUGUGCUUCGAACUUCCAAUAAACACACACACACACACACACACACACACACACACACACACACACACACACACACACACACACACAUUAAAACACUAUUGAUAACGAUUUUCUAUUUCCAAGACAGUCUACACCAGCACCAUUGCAUUCGGGGACAGGUGGGUAAUUACUCGAACAUGGAGACUGAACAGGUGGCAUAUUCUUUACCUCUCACCCACCUCUCACUAAAAUCAACAUCCCUGACGUAGACAAUAAAUAAUGCCCACACUAACACUACCUCGCCAUCAAGAUUAUCCUCACUGAUUAGUUUUACCUGAUGAUGAAACACACCUGUUAUAUAAAUCAGUUUAACUAUACCGUACUCCAGUAUCGCUCCAACAAUGCUCCAACCCCACUCUAAUACCGCCCCAACACUACUCCAAUACCGCCCCAACACUACUCCAACAUGCUCCAACACACCUCCAACAGAGCAGGAGUUGGGCGUAUUCUUUGUGGUCAAAAGGUCCAGCCAGCAGAGGGUGGAGAGAGAGCGAGCGGUCAAGCCCCGUUUUUCAUUGCACUUUUCACCGAUCCAGGAUUCAGUUUGGAUCGUAUCAAGUCUAUCCUGGUCGAGAGUGGCUGUAAGUCUCUGAUUGAAUCCAGAAAAGCUGUCCUCCAUUUGUUGACAUUGGAGAAACAAACAUUUAUUUUACCCAUUGAUAUUCACGUUUUUUUUUGUUCUUUGGGGGUAAAUAUUAAUGUUAGGUGAUUUUAUUCAUAGAAAUAUUUGUAUAUAACAUUCAAUCACAGUUUAGUUCAUUAUUUAUAUUCAUUUCGCUCUUUUUUUUUAGAAUAGAUGACAGAAGAAUAUGUUGUUUCUCAUACAAGGGACAAUAUUUAAAGAGUUUUAUCCCUAUAUAAAGAAAUCUGAUCUCAGUAUGAUAUUUUUCUUUGUUUAAACUGUUUACAAUUGUCAUAAGUUUGGUAUUAGUGAACAUCUUCCUUCAGUUUAUUAUCCGUCAUCAAAUUUAUUCUAUGUUGCCAUUUAGCAAGUCUGACUAAUCUAGCUUGGUGAGUUUGUAACCAGUUUAUUCUCAUUUAAAGAUUAACAACCAUAAUGCUACUAGGUAAUAUUCACUCAUAGUAAACUCAUUUUAACAUCAAUUUCUCAUCACAAACUCUAUAACAUAUUAAUACAAUUUUAUAUAGAUGGUCAUAGAUGAUUAUAUAAAAGACUUUACAUUUAAAACGAAAAAAAAAAAUAAGGUGGUGAGCGCCAUCUGGAUUAAAAGAGUAAAACUAAAAAUCUUCAUCACAGGGUUACAAUGGAGAGUUUCCCGUCUGAGUAUUCUGGCACUACGUCAUGAGGUAGACUAACACAACACAGGAGACGAAGAUGGAGGACGUUGCUGCUGUCACGACCAUCCCAUCCCUGGAAAAUAAUCCCCCUUGAGUCGUCGGUAAAACAAUUAUUCCUAUUAUUAGAUCAUAAAUAUAACCUAAAUGAUAGUUAGGAGUUGUUGAUGUUUAUUAUAAUGAGUGAGAGAGUGUAUUUAAGGGUUAAUUAAGGUCAGUGUGUUGGGUCGUCUGGAGGUAGUUGGUAAAUUUUCACCUUUGUUGACAAUAUAUGAAAUCGACGUUGAAAUUAUGUUUUUUUUUAUGUUAUGAACGAAUUUGGGUUAACUUUGGUUAGUAGCCACGUUUAGGUUAGGUUAGGUUAGGUUAGG